rnacentral:rRNA from 1 species
AUGAACGCUAGCGGCAGGCUUAAUACAUGCAAGUCGAACGGCAGCACAGUGUAGCAAUACAUGGGUGGCGAGUGGCGCACGGGUGCGUAACACGUAUGCAAUUUGCCCAUAACUGGGGGAUAGCCUUCCGAAAGGAAGAUUAAUACCCCAUAACCCAGCGAGGUGGCAUCACCUUUCUGGUAAAUCUCCGGAGGUUAUGGAUGAGCAUGCGUCUGAUUAGCUAGUUGGUGAGGUAACGGCUCACCAAGGCAACGAUCAGUAGGGGGUCUGAGAGGAUGAUCCCCCACACGGGUACUGAGACACGGACCCGACUCCUACGGGAGGCAGCAGUAAGGAAUAUUGGACAAUGGAGGCAACUCUGAUCCAGCCAUGCCGCGUGAAGGAUGAAGGCCCUACGGGUUGUAAACUUCUUUUCUAAGUGAAGAAUAUGACGGUAGCUUAUGAAUAAGCACCGGCUAACUACGU